CAACACCCUGCUUCCUACUUUCCGGAACUUCCUGGUUUCGUUUCCUUUCUAAGUAUCUGCUAUACUUAGGUCAAAUACUCGCUAUACUUAGGUGCCCGCGUUUCCCCUUGGCCCUGGUCACACUGGAUUGCAGCCACAGCCGCUUUUCGCUGACCCCGGGCUUCCCUUCCUAGGAAGGUUUCUACAGCAGAUCCUCUGUUUCGACAUGAAUUCAAAACAAUGAACUCCAAGAGGCAAGAAGUAAUACAAGUUAGAUACCCUCAUGCUCGAGACCAUGAUAUACUUUCUUACUUUAUGUGAGUGAGUUCUCUCACAACAAACUAUGGGAAACGCAGGAGCUGGGAGAAGCCUGUGGACAUCCUGGAAGUCUGACUCAUCGCUGUUUCAAAUACUCCUACUGAGGUCACUAGAAGAGUAAGGAAGAGCCACAUCGCCAGGAUCCCAAGUCAAACAAAACAUGAGAGGAACAUUUUAUCCAAAGAAGACAGUUCUUUUAUGCUUCAUUUCAUCUUACCAGGCAAGAGCUAUUGUUCUUCAGUUUGGUAAAUACCCUGAAGGCACAUUCAGUCCUUCAUACCUAAUAAGGUUGGACAAAGUCAGUUCUUAGACAUGUGU